UGCACCAUGCUUAUUAAUUUGCCAUCCCUCACGUACACACACAAAAUAUAAAGUGUGAAGUAACUGCCUAUAAUCAAUCGACAUUGUGGUACAAGAUACUGAUUUCCUCAUCUCGGCGUCACUGCUUCUCUGUGUGUGGGUGGAGUGAACUAUCUUGUCGUCACUACAAAAUCUUUACUCAACACAGUGGUCCUUUGAUUUAUAUCAACAAACCGGACAGGAAGCUGAAUCCGCUGAAGCGCGAUAACUGACACAUGAAGAGACUGAAUCAGUCACAGCUCAGCUCUGGGAGGAGAAGAGACAGAGGACAAGAUGAGGAGACAGAGGGAAAAAGAAAGAGAGAAGCUGAUGAAGAUGAGAGAGGAAGAGCAGAAGUCAACCAACCCAGGCAAAUGGAGUUCAGCUUUUCCAGGGAUCUCGGGCUCUCGGGAUCAAACAUCGUUGCUAACAGGCGGCCCCGGCAGGCAGGCAGCGGUCACCACAGCAGCGGCCCCUGGGCCAGAGGGAAACACCCUCCCUGUGGCUUCCCUCUCCUGACAAAUAUUAAAGACCUGGCCUUCCCCUUUGGCCAUUUCUGCUUUCCUUUAUAUGUGUGCCAUUUUGUGGUGGUGUAAAUAAAAGAAAAAAAAUCAAUUUAAUCUUGCGCUCCAUUAUUUGUGUUUAAUAUCUAUCUGGUGAAAUCCAAAAAUACAGCAAAAACAGACACACC